GGAAGAGUCCGUGUGGGAUACUGGAGUGAUCUGAGGUUCUUCAGCUGGCAGCGAACGUUAUGGUCCGAGACCCUACACAGGACACACUCGAAGGAAGGAGGUGGAGUGGGGACGUUCUUUUAUAUUUUAUGUGAACAAAGAAUAAAGAAUUUCCAUUUUACCCCUGGCUGGCAUCCUCUCCUGCAUCACUGACCCUAUUUGAGGUCUACACAUGCUGAAAGUUAGAGCAGGCUCAUCUACUCUCUAUUUGUGA